AAGGGUUGAGAAUGUUGUGGGUGGAGAAGCUUAUUCCUUUGCUACCUUAGGGUGGAAAUCAGGGGGGAAAUGUUGCUCUGUGCAAACUCACACAGGCAUUCUCUUUUUUUCCCUUGGCACAUAGAAGCAAGUGAUGAUCCAGGAAGAAGAAACAACACAUACAAACUCCUACAGGCAGCAAAGACCAUCAAACACUCAAGGAAAACAUGGGUUCUUAUUCCCCACAGGAAUAGUUCAUCAUUCUGGGCUUGAGAUAAUGAGCAAACAACACCUGCCCUCGCACAAACCUGGUGGUUGUAUUUUUCACCCAAGAAAUUCCAGAUUUCAACAAGAGACCCAUUCUCCUGAAUGCCGACGUUGAUGGGGAAGUGAGCAUAUACAGACUUCAUCUUGUAACAGAAGCCCAGUGUAACACCUUUGAUCAUGUUCUGUACGUAACUACAGAUUGUGCGAACAGUAGCCAGUUCCUUUCUGUUUCCCCACCAUUUGUCAACCCGGAGCAUCUUCUUUUUCUUUCCAAGGAGACUGAGUUCUACAUUAAUGUGGUUGAAGUCCCUCCACAGGGUUCCUCUGGGCCCUUCACAAUAACUGUACCUCCCUUCAGAGUGAUGUUGACAUUUUGGAAUGUCGACAGUCUGAUUGCUGAGAAUGGUCUUCAUUCUUGCAAGAGAUGCAGCAAAGAGCAAAGUAUUGUUCUUUGACAGCUUCCAACUUGCUAAUAUUUCCCACAUUUAAGUUUAAGCUAAGAAUAUCCAGAAUCUUGGUAACAUUACCAUAAAAUUUUUAUAAAAUUUUCUCUAUAAAAGUGAAUCAUAUUCAUUGUAGAACUUUUGAAAGGCAAAGAGAAGACAGUAUCGCCACUCUGGGAUGUCCUCUGAAUAGCUUGGACUCCUCCUCCUAGUCCUUUCAAUGUAGGGGUGUGGUAUUUACUGGUCCAAAUUGAAAUUUAUUUGUUCUGUUUUCCAAUCUGCCCUUUGCACUUGACAAAAGAUUUUGACCACUUU
rnacentral:lncRNA from 1 species